AAAAUAUGCGUAGUUGACUGUUUGAAACGAGAAAACAAUUUCUUGCGGCUAAAACCCGCCAGAAAUUGAUCUCCCCUUUUCAAGAUUAUUUACCUCUUUCGUCCACUUCUCUCACAAGAUUUUCCAGAUUCAGACCCAAAUUUUGAGUUAAACAAUCAUCAAGAACUUUUUGUGUUAAGCGAAAAAUCAGAUUCAAGCUCAAACUUUGAAUUUUGUGAAGUCGAAGUCUUAUCGAGAGAGAGAGGUUUGUCGAGCUUGCCAACGGCGAGGUAUUCAACCAUGCACGAAUCGUAUCCCUCGUCGGUGGCAAGCAGAGCAGCGGCGCGUGAGUAUAUUCUAACUCGAGAUCGUGGAAUCGAUCUCCGCUUCCACCGCCUACUGCGCUGCCGCAGGGAUCCCCUCCAUCUUCUUCCUCCCUCGCGACCAUGCUCUUUCUCCUCCUUCCAGAUCCAUACAAUUUGCUUCUUUGUUGUCGUUCAGUACACUCACUGUAAUUUCAUUUCUUUUUGUUUGGAUUUCAAUUUAAUAUGAAACAUGGAAUGAGGAACAAUGUUAUUGGGUGGGGGUCGAAUUUACUCAUCAGAGUUGCGGAAACGGAAGUGGAAUCAAUUGGAGGAAUUCUUAAAGAGGAAAAAACAGAAGGCAGAAAGGAUUUUAAAAGUGUGCAAGUCAGACUUAGCGCGAGAAGGCUCAUGAGGAAAAGUUCAAUGCGUGUUUAAUGCACAGAUGUGCAUGCAGCGCGAAGUCGGCGUGAAAAGUAGCCUACCUCAGGCCUAUAAAAGGAGUAGGAAGAGAAGACACAUCAAGUAUGAGAGCUCUCCAGUGCAGAAAUUCAAAGCUUGAGCCUCUCCUUUAGGGGAAACCCUCUUUCCUUAGUCAUUCCCCAUUUUCUUAUUACUAGUCAUCCAAUCAUUUCUUUCAUUAAUCUCUGAAGGGUAAAGUUUUUCAUGACUAUGAGAGGUUAAACUCCUCUGUUGGAGCCUAGCAGCCAGUGCCCUUCUAAUGUAACUGCUCUUCUUAAUUAUUAAUGCAAUUUCAAUUUCAAUUUCUGUUGUUGUUU